rnacentral:rRNA from 1 species
GACGAACGCUGGCGGCGUGCUUAACACAUGCAAGUCGAACGAAAAGAGGGAAAGAGCUUGCUCUUUCCGGAAUUGAGUGGCAAACGGGUGAGUAACACGUAAACAACCUGCCUUCAGGAUGGGGACAACAGACGGAAACGACUGCUAAUACCGAAUAAGUUCCAAGGGCCGCAUGGCCCAUGGAAGAAAAGGUGGCCUCUACCUGUAAGCUAUCGCCUGAAGAGGGGUUUGCGUCUGAUUAGCUGGUUGGAGGGGUAACGGCCCACCAAGGCGACGAUCAGUAGCCGGUCUGAGAGGAUGAACGGCCACACUGGAACUGAGACACGAUCCAGACUCCUACGGGAGGCAGCAGUGGGGAAUCUUCCGCAAGGGGCGAAAGCCUGGCGGAGCAACGCCGCGUGAGUGAUGACGGCCUUCGGGUUGUAAAACUCUGUGAUCCGGGACGAAAAGGCAGAGUGCGAAGAACAAACUGCAUUGACGGUACCGGAAAAGCAAGCCACGGCUAACUACGUG